rnacentral:lncRNA from 1 species
GUUACCAAUGCCUCUGAAAUCAGUUUUCUUGGGCUCAGCUAUCAUAAGAUCUUUUCCCAUUCUGAGUCUGAGUUUGUAUUUGAAGAGAACUCGAGGAAGGAGUGGCUCAAAGGUCAACUAAUUCCUUUCUCAUUCUGUACUGAAGUUUCUAAUUCAUUUUCUCAAUGUUUUUCAAUAGCCAGCCCCAUGAAGCUCCUCCUGGCAAGCCAUGGUGCAUGAUGCUAUUAGCGUAUUGUUGGAAAAGAAGAAGAGAACGCUGGACUUGGGAAGUCCAGACACAUGUGAAAUAAUGGAGAUGUUCGAUUCUGCAUGGAUGGGCUCAUUGUCCUUUGUCUCCUUCAUGGACCCAGAGUAAUUUUGGGUUGGAAGGAUGCUGGUCUCUUGCAUGCACUUUUUAGCACUGAACACAGGUUCCCAGUAUUCAGGAGAAAAUUUCCUGUGAUGUGGAGAGGCCUUGUCAUUCACAGCACCAUGUGUUCCACAACGAGGAUGGAAUUUUUUCUGGAACUGGCAAAAUUUAAAAAAAAUGAAGCGUGUUCUUUGCAGUGGAUGGAAGAAGGAAGCUGUCAGAGCCUCAGCUCCCUCCUGGCAGGAUUGGGAGAGAUAGUCAGCGAGGAUUUCAGGCCCCAGGUCCCUGGGUCCUGAUGAGCCCACACAUAGCUGACGGCCACGAGGUGUUGAAACCCUGCCACAUUUGCAUGAACUCUGAAUUAUUCUGUCUCUGAAAGGGAAUCUGGGGCUACCAACAGAACGGGGUCAAAAUGUAAUGCACGGGGAUGUGUUUUCUUUUUUCUUUCUCCUGAGAUUUCCUGACUCAUCCCUGGGACCAACUUGAUGGCCACUUGAAAUUCCUGGUUCUUUUCCAACAGUCUGCAGCCAAACACUGCUAUUCCCAUAGUGUCUCAUCUUACUGUGUCUCCUCUUCAUAACCUAUUCUGUCCCUGUAUUCUGAGUGCUAGCCAUAUCUAGGCAGAAUACUGACUUUCAUCACCUCCAUUAUGCAGAACUGCUUGUCUGUGGAGUGACUAACAGUUCUGCCCUGUGUGCCCAGAAUGUCGGGCUCCAAUGUAGGAAGCCAAGUCUCUGUGCUGGGCAUGCAAGCCCAGCUGAGCCCUUCCCCCAGGCCUUGCUACCAUUUCCCCAACUUUGGCACAUCAGGUAUUGCCAUCAGGUGAGUCGAUUAGCAUGGGAAUACUGAAGAUAACUAAGUACAGAUGGAGCAACGUCCUUCCACCCUGUCAAGUAACAUAUUCACAGUAACAUAUUCUGGGGUGUUAUGAUUUACAUCUCAAAGUUCCCUAAAAGCCUCAUGUGCUCAGAGGUAAUGUUUUGGAAGGUGAUUGUUUUAUGGGGCUUUAUUUUAAUUUGCUGUUAGAAGGUGGAGUCUGGUUGGAAGAGGCACGUUACUGUGGGUAUGACCUGGACC